rnacentral:rRNA from 1 species
UACGAAGGGGGCUAGCGUUGCUCGGAAUUACUGGGCGUAAAGCGCACGUAGGCGGAUUGUUAAGUCGGGGGUGAAAUCCUGGAGCUCAACUCCAGAACUGCCUUCGAUACUGGCGAUCUCGAGUUCGGGAGAGGUGAGUGGAACUGCGAGUGUAGAGGUGAAAUGCGCAGAUAUCAGGAGGAACACCGAUGGCGAAGGCAGGUCUCUGGGCCAUAACUGACGCUGAGGCGCGAAAGCGUGGGGAGCAAACAGG